rnacentral:rRNA from 1 species
UACAGGGGGGGCAAGCGUUGUUCGGAAUUACUGGGCGUAAAGGGCUUGUAGGUGGCCAACUAAGUCAAACGUGAAAUCCCUCAGCUUAACUGGGGAACUGCGUCUGAUACUGGAUGGCUUGAGUUUGGGAGAGGGAUGCGGAAUUCCAGGUGUAGCGGUGAAGUGCGUAGAUAUCUGGAGGAACACCGGUGGCGAAGGCGGCAUCCUGGACCAACACUGACACUGAGGAGCGAAAGCCAGGGGAGCAAACGGG